rfam:Gossypium hirsutum cultivar TM-1 unplaced genomic scaffold scaffold458.1, whole genome shotgun sequence
AAUAGCAAAAUGACAAAUCAACUUUUUUCUCUUAAUUUUCAGCUUUUUCCUCUUAAAAAAUUCAAAUACAACUAAAAACACUAAAAAUCACUAGGAAAAAUUUGAUUUGUCAUUUUGUUAUU